ensembl:lncRNA
GGGAGGACGAGUCGCAUUGUAGUGGUAACGUAACAGCGACAUGGCGCUGAGCCCAUGUAUAAAACCACCCGGGUAAGAAUCAUGGAAACAGCUCAUUCAUCAGCCAGGACUCAAAUGGACCUCAUAAAGUAAGACAACGUAUACAACUGAGAUCAGCACUCUGAGAUCAUCCCAGAGUCAACUCAGAUGUUUCUCCAAAGUGAGACGUCUCGAGAACAGCAGUUUGUGUAUGUGUGUGUGUGUGUGUGUGUGUUUGGCAUCUUUGUUUAUGUUUAAUCCGUGUUUUUUGCCCGCGUGUUUGCGCGUUAAAACGCAUGUGAUUAUACACAUAUACCAGCAUGCACAAUUGUGUAUGUACACUGUUCAAGAGGUCAUGCAGUUCCCCACACAUCCCUUUAUAAUGUCACGUAUACACCACCAGACUCUCUCUCCCCACACAAUCAUUCUCUCCCAUCUAACACAGAUAAUUCGAUCUGCUAUUAUCGCAAAACAAUCCACCCUCUUAGUAACGGUUGCUAGGUCUAACAAACUUGAGGAACAAGAAACAUGACGGCAAGGUGCGGGUUAACUGUGGGCAAUGGAAGGACACAUUCAUGAUGAUUAACUUUAGUCAGGUGACUUUUUUAAUGUCAUGUACAUAAAAAAUACAGAAUCAAGACCUGGGGAACCGACCCUUCCGCUGGAGAGUGAGGGGUUCUGGUGCUCGGGAACACUUUGUUCAACAGGAACCGCCAAAAUCAACACAACAUGAGAGCUCCCUGCUGCAGUUGUUACCAUCUGCACUGUCCUGUGUUGAUGCAGAUGUGGAGACGAAUGUAAUAUGGCUUUCAUGGUAAUGUGACUUUUACCCAGGCAUAGCAUCGUAGAACAGCAAACGGGAACCUCCUUGUUUUAAAAUUGCUCAACUGUUUCACAGAGGGGAAGGGGGCGGGAUCGAGGAAACCGUGAAGCAAAACUUGCAUAUUCUUGCCUAAAAAUCUCUUUUUUUCCCUUUUCUGCAGUGUGGCGCUAUAAAUGUGAGCGUAACGUACUCUAAAUGUGUGUCGUACAGGGAGGUGCAUGCUGUAUGAGCAUGUGAUAGUGAGGAUGGUGUUAUCAGUGCAGUGCUGGGACUAAUUAAAAUCCUCCCCAGCAACCUUUGAGGCAACAACACGGACAAUCAACCUCACUUACGCUCACAACACUGCAGUGCACCAGUGCUUGUUGGAGCAAAGGGAAACUGUGUCCUGCGUGCACACGUUUUUUCAUCUUUUCAUCUGCACUUGCCUGUCAUGUUAGUGUGAGGACAAUUUAGAACCGUAUGAUGCCGGCAGUGGGAAAAAGCCAGUGUAGGAAAUGAGGGAUGAUGGCGGUGAUACAAUCCCAGAGCUGGAAGCACAGCGGUAUCUACCUGUCUAGACACUGCACAGCUGUCUCCGGUAGAACGCCAGCUGCACGGACCACUAACUGCGUCAGAAAUAUUGACAUGCCAGAGCCAAGACUCUACCGAUGGAGCGCUGAGCGAAGGCCUGCUGCCGUCAUCCACACGCACAGAGGAUGAGGGAUUGAGGGGUUGCGGAGCGGUUUAUCUCUCGUCGCCGCUCUUUUAAGAGAAACGAGAAGGGAUGAGCUGAGACGGAUUGAGUGGACUCAAAAGUAACAGGAUUGUAAUUAUUUACCCUAAACGUCCUGUUGAGACUGGCUGGAAUUUACUCCUUUCAGAACCGGACGCAGCGUGUUUGUGGGGAGCGCGGGGGCCAUCGGGCACGAACGCUCCGAGCUUUGUGUGUGUGUGUUUUUAGCCUGUUCUGCGUCACUGCUGCUCUCUUGUUUAUGCAGAGGCUGUGUGGAUAUGGAGAGGUGGGAUAUCCAAGCCUCCCACUGUCACCUGAUAUCUGUGGAAAAUGGAUCAGAUGAUUGGACGAGUCCACUCGACUCUUCGAGCAGAAAGUCCCGUUUCCCCUCACGUCAGAGCCUGUUGCAAAACCGUCGUUUUGACUCUCGCCAAGAGGUUGACUGCUGCAACGUAAGGGAGGCAGAGAAGGGCGGACGAGAGGCCGGGUGAGACGGAGAGGAAGAGGCCCAUAUUGAGUUACACAGACGAGGGUCUGUGUAUUCUCGGUGGACCAGGGAAGAUGCAGGGUAAAUGAAGCGUGCUGUAGCAUGGCGGCUUCUGCUUUAUCCUUGCACCGUGUGUGUGUGUGUGUGUGUGUACGUGUGGUUUAGACAGCGGCCUCUUUGAGCGCUCUGUUCUCUCAUGGUUCUAAUAUGUCGGGGGCCCCGCUGUCCUCGGCCCCUGACCGAUGUCCAAAGAUAAGAGGAUUAAUGCAAGCCAAAAGUGAAGAGAGAUGAAUACAAAUGGAUCCACAUGAGGGACCCACCAAAUUACACAAUCUGCACUGCGCAGAAGGAUCUGCUUAUGCAACGACUCAACUGUUUCAUUUGGAAUUAAAUCGUUGAAUUGUGAUGCUUUGUGUCUCUUCUCCAGCGAGUCUGUGACCUGUAGCACAAGGGCCUCCCCUUGUGUUCUGUUGCAAAACUACAAAUCUACUGAUUUGUUAAGUACAAAUUAAAUCAACAAAACACAGGUAAGAAAGUUAAGUCAUUCGUUGGUAAAAUCCUGGCAUUGUUCCAGAUAUCUUGAAUUUAAUAACUGAGUGAUGCAAAUGGACUUUAUUUCCUUGAGUCUUGUUUUUGGUUAUGUUGACCGUGUAACUAUUUCAAUAUGUUUACAGGAAACUUGUCUUGCACGUCUUUAUUGUCAUACAAAAUGCCCUUUGACUAUUUACUAUUUGUGUUUUUAAUGAAAGAAUAAGACAAAGAGGGAUAAAGACAAAGAACAAGUUUGAGAUUUCCAAAAACUUCAUGAUUGUAGUUCACAGAAAACUUUUUGUUUUUAACGGACCCCUGCAGUCAGACAGCAACGCGUAUGAAUGAAGUGAUAUUAGGAAACCAUUCAGUCGUUACUGAAGAGACUGUCGAGACCUGCAAGUAAUGCAAUGUUCACAUUGUCCCCUUGUAUUUAACUUUGAAUUGAGUCAAUGAAAUACCAACCAUGCACUCAAGCCACAUGAUUUCACUUUUCAGGGAAUGCAACAGAGAUCUGCUAGACAUUUUUAUGAUACGUUUCUUUUGAACAUUUUUCGCCCCUAAUAUUUGUUAACCUUUUUUUGUUAAAUUCAAUUUAUGACUUUUAGAGAAACGUCACACACAACAUCAUUCUUUUCCAAAAUGCUUCGUCUGACAUUAACCUUGUUAACAAUACAAAUAGUUUAGUUAUAAAUGUCAAAAGUGUUAUUUUUAAAGCAGCAAAUGGAAGUCUAGACUGUAAUCUACUCACAGCUAUACCUCGGUCUCCAUAGCAUUGAUCCUUUUGUUGACGGCAAGACUCCUCAAGUCUGGACCGCAACCAGGGAGUCCAGCUCCCUGAAAGGGGAGAAUGAAAGCCGUGUCUUUUGUUUGAGCCUGUAGCCUCUUUGAGGGUUCAGGUGAAGUCUCCUUUUUACUGAAAUAACUUUCCACAGACAAGAUUCAGAGCAAUUCUUGUGUAGUAUUUGUUUCGCUGGGGAGGCGAGAGUCUCUCUGGAUGGACUGUGAGUGUGUUUAUUGUUAUACUAUUUUGUAUUAUUGAUGACAAAGAAAAGAUAAAGAAAACAAUAUCACGGCUAGAAAGAUUAUUUGCAAAUUGUCUUUGAACAGAUGAGAUAAAAAAAUUGGCAGCAAACUGUAAAAAUAAAAAAAGAGUAAAAGAUUCAAAAGUUUAAAGAGCAUUUCAUCUGUCAUCUCAUCUCGUCUUCAACCGCUUACUCAAACUUCCCUUUCCCGUGCCACAUCUGCCAGCUGUGACUGGGGGAUCCCAAGGCGUUCCAGGGCCAGUGUGGACAUGCUUGUACUCAUGAUCGGUCAUCACCCAUCCCUCAGGACGAGAGGUAAGACUGGCCGGCAACUGUGGGCGAGUGGAAGACGCGGUCGCACCACAAUCAGAGGAUUGGCCGUUUGAUCCCUGGCCCGGCUUUUUCGCCGCCCACGCUGCUCGGACUCUCGGGCCAAACUCGCACUCCCUGAGGUACUUGAACUCCUUCACUUUGGCUGAGGACGUCAACGAUGCCAAACUCCACAAGAUACCAGAACUUAGGACUGAAUCUUCAUGGCUGAUAUACAAAACAAAGGUUUUCCUAAAGCAUCGGGGCAAAGUAUUUUUUUUAAAAAGCACGCUCAUCCCAGUCGUCGUUGGCCCCCCGGGGGCCCGGUAGGGCCGACACACUAGAAACAGACAUCCUCACACAGCUUCUCCUACGGCCAGUUUAGAGUAAACAAUUAACCUAAGCUGCACGUCUUUAUGCUGUGAGAGGAAGCAGGAGGCGGCGGUGCUCCACAGAUCGAUGUCAAAUCUUACUGCCCAAUACGCAUGAAAUGCACAGCUGGUGAAAAAAAGAAAGAAAAGAAAGGCAGUAUUGAGCUGAAGAACUCCCCCUUUUUCCACGUGCAUCUGUAAAUGGGUUGAUAUCAGCGGGAGGAGGUGCACAACAGAAGGAGCGCUGCUGAUGGUGGUCGUGGAGGCCUGUCGACUCAACGGGGAGCCUCCGUUACUCAUAACCGAGCGCAGAGAGGAUUCGCUGUCUCAUUCUAAUCUCCAGUCUGCCUCUUACCUUGUUUCCUUUUGCCCAUCUCCUGAUGUAACUUCAUGAGCUGCUCCCCAAAGCUCCACAGCCAGUAUCCACUCGGAGUGGGAGCAUUAACUGGGCUUUGCCGAUGCAGCAUCACGUCUCUCUUCCUUGUUGUUUCCGUCUCCGAGCUGCCAACCGAUGAUUGGACAUGACGGGGGAAGCCGUAGCUUUGGUGUGUAAGCGCUUUGACCCAGACCAGGGCAGCGGGUGGGAAACUCGCUUUUGUUGUGUUUUAGAGCUUCUUUAGGGCUUUUUGAUUUGGCAAGUGUUUUUGUUUGCUUCACAUAGCGCUGACGAUCAACAUGAAGAACUGUGUGCGUAAAUAAAUAAAGAUUAAAAAAAUUGAUGGA